GACGAACGCUGGCGGCGUGCUUAACACAUGCAGGUCGAACGGAAAGGCCCUGCUUUUGUGGGGUGCUCGAGUGGCGAACGGGUGAGUAACACGUGAGUAACCUGCCCUUGACUUUGGGAUAACUUCAGGAAACUGGGGCUAAUACCGGAUAGGAGCUCCUGCUGCAUGGUGGGGGUUGGAAAGUUUCGGCGGUUGGGGAUGGACUCGCGGCUUAUCGGCUUGUUGGUGGGGUAGUGGCUUACCAAGGCUUUGACGGGUAGCCGGCCUGAGAGGGUGACCGGCCACAUUGGGACUGAGAUACGGCCCAGACUCCUACGGGAGGCAGCAGUGGGGAAUAUUGCACAAUGGGCGGAAGCCUGAUGCAGCAACGCCGCGUGCGGGAUGACGGCCUUCGGGUUGUAAACCGCUUUCGCCUGUGACGAAGCGUGAGUGACGGUAAUGGGUAAAGAAGCACCGGCUAACUACGUG
rnacentral:rRNA from 1 species